rnacentral:misc_RNA from 1 species
AACCUAGCACACCUGCGGUGUGUACCUGCGGAGGGAUCAUUAACCUUUCAAAUCAGGGUGCGGCGCGGCCCCCGAGGAGCGGAAACAAUCCUUGGGAGGUAUGCGGGGGCUUCGAGCCCCCCAUCUACGCACGCACGACUGCCAUCCUUACUUUACGAGCACCUUCUGUUCUCCCUCGGCGGGGCAACCUGCCGUUGGAACCGAAUAAACUCUUUUUGCAUCUAGCAUUACCUGUUCCGA